GAGGCUCCUGACCAAAUAUCAUCUCACAGCUCAUAUCAUCAAAAUCUACAAAAGCAGACAGCAAACCAUUAGUAACUUAGCUGCAGUAGACAGAUCCCCUUCAUUUAAAUCAUCUUGUGUUGAUUGCAAAAUUUUAACAGCGGUGGCCUUGCACUCAGCUAAUGAUUGGCUCGUGGGAAUGUGACUAACGUUCAACUUAGGUGCUUGUUGUCAUGAUAUAUGGGAGCAGGUUAAGGAUCAUGAUUGGUUUCAUGGGAAACAGGUGAAAAUUAGCGGAUUGUAUUGAAUUUGGACGACUUGGUGGCAUCAAUCAUGGAAUCAUAUAUUUUUAAUUAAUGUUCACUAAUUCAGUUUUGCACCCUUAGUGGCUAUGCUUGGGGCCCCUUGGGGCCCUCCAUUGACAUGAUGAGCAUGGCUUCCACAUUCUCUAGUGCAGGUACUAUUACUCCUUGAAGUAUAUCCCUUUUUAUUUUGUUCCUUUUCAAUUGCCGUGAGAGGAAAACUGGAAAAAUCGUUGUUCUAUUGGCAACUUUCUAUUCCAAUGUUCUGCACAUUAUACGCCUUUCGCAGUGCAAAACAAAAUUUGAGUAUUGAUUUCUUA